rnacentral:snRNA from 1 species
UCACUCCUGAAGCAGUGUUGGUAUCAACAUUGGAAUAUUCCAGAGAAGAUUAGCAUAGUUCCUUGCAAAGAUGCCUCAUGGAUUUGUAAAGUUGCCAUAUUUUU